AGAGCGAACGCUGGCGGCAGGCCUAACACAUGCAAGUCGAGCGCCCGUAGCAAUACGGGAGCGGCAGACGGGAUAGUAACACGUGGGAACGCGCCCUUCGGUUCGGAAUAACUCAGGGAAACUUGAGCUAAUACCGAAUACGCCCUUACGGGGAAAGAUUUAUUGCCGAAGGAACGGCCCGCGUCCGAUUAGCUAGUUGGUGAGGUAAUGGCUCACCAAGGCUACGAUCGGUAGCUGGUCUGAGAGGAUGACCAGCAUCACUGGGACUGAGACACGGCCCAGACUCCUACGGGAGGCAGCAGUGGGGAAUAUUGGACAAUGGGCGCAAGCCUGAUCCAGCCAUGCCGCGUGGAUGAUGAAGGCCUUAGGGUUGUAAAGUCCGUUUUAACGGGGAAGAUAAUGACGGUACCGUAGAAUAAGCCCCGGCUAACGUUCGUGCCAGCAGCCGC
rnacentral:rRNA from 1 species